CCUGGUUGAUCCUGCUAGUAUUCAUAUGCUUGUCUCAAAGAUUAAGCCAUGCAUGUGUAAGUAUGAAGUAAUUUAGAUAGUGAAACUAUGAAUGGCUUAUUAAAUCACUUAUAGUUUGUUUGAUGGUAUUUACUACUCGAAUAACCAUAGCAAUUCUGGAGCUAAUAUAUGCAACAAACCUUGACUUCUAGAAGGGAUGCAUUUCUUAGAUAAAAGGUCAAUGCAUACUUUGCUCAUUGCUUUGAUGAUUCAUGAUAACUUUAUAGAUUGUUAGCCUUUGUGCCAAUGAUACAUCAUUCAAAUUUUUACCCUAUCAACUUUCAAUGUUAUGAUAAUGGCCUUCUAUGGUAGUGAUAGGUGACAGAUAAUUAGGGUUCAAUUGUGAAAAGGGAGCUUAAGAAUGGCUACCACAACCAAUGAAGGCAACAGACUCAUAAAUUACCCAAUCCUAACAUGGGGAGAUAGUGACAAUAAAUAACAAUAUUGACCUUUAUGAGUUUGGUAAUUGGAAUAAGUACAAUUUAAAUCUCUUAAUGAGGAUCUAUUUUAGGGCAUGUUUAGUGAUAACAACCAUGGUAAUUCUAAUAGCAUAUAUUUAAUUUGUUGCUGUUAAAAAGCUCAUAGUUGGAACUGGGGUUAGGUCAUCCGAUCCACCUUAUGGCGAGCACUAGUCUACUUAUCCCUACAGCUGAUAAUGUCCUCUUGGCUUUAACUAGCUAGGUUGUUCCUCUAGCAUUGUUACUUAGAAGAAAUCAAAUUGCUUAAAGUAGACCUAUGCUUGUAUACAUUACCUUGGGAUAACAUCAUAGGAUUCUAAUCCUAUUAUGUUGGCUUUUGGGAUCAGAGUAAUUAUUAAUAGGGACAUUUAGGGGCAUUCAUAUUUCAUGGUUAGAGGUGAAAUUCUUAGAUUUAUGAAAGAUGAACAACUGUAAAAACAUUUACCAAGGAUGUUUUCAUUAAUCAAGAAUGAAAAUUAGGGGCUUGAAGAUGAUCAAAUACCAUCAUAAAUUUAACCAUAAAUAAUGCUGACCAAGGAUCAACAGAUGUUACUUUUAAGACUUCACUGGCACCUUAUGUGAAAUCAAAGUCUUUGGGUUUUAGGGGGAAGAUAGUCAUAAGGCUAAAACUUAAAGGAAUCAAUAGAAGGGCACCAUUAGGAGUAAAGCUUGCAACUUAAUUUGACUCAACAUGGGAAAACUUAUAAGAUCUAGACAUAGAAAGGAUUGACAGACUAAGAGCUCUUUCUUAAUUCAAUGGGUAGUGGUGCACGGCCAUUCUUAGUUGGUGAAAUGAUUUGUUUGGUUAAUUUCGUUAACAAACGAGACCUUAACUUGUUAACUAGCUACGUGGAGGUGAUUUUUUGUGGCUAGCUUCUUAAAGGGACUAUGGCCACUUAGGCCAAGGAACUUUGAGGUAAUAAUAGGUUUGUGAUGCCCUUAAAUGUUCUGGGCUACAUGUGCACUACACUGAUGUAUUCAAUGUAGGCCCAGGUAAUCUUUGAAAUUUCAUCAUCAUGGGGAUAGAUCAUUGUAACUGUUGGUCUUCAACAAGGAAUUCCUAGUAAGUGUAAGUCAUCAGCUCAUGUUGACUAUGUCCUUACUCUUUAUACACAUGCUUGUUGCUCUUAUCGAUUAAAUAGUUCAUUGAAAUGUUUAGAUCAUGGUGAUGUGGAUGGUUUGCUACCUAUGACGUUGGGAGAAGUCUACCUAACCUUAUCAUUUAGAGGAAAGAGAAGUUGUAAUAAGGUUUCCAAAGGUCAACCUAGAGAAG
rnacentral:rRNA from 1 species